rnacentral:rRNA from 1 species
GAUGAACGCUGGCGGCGUGCCUAAUACAUGCAAGUCGAGCGAACAGACGAGGCGCUUGCUCCUCUGACGUUAGCGGCGGACGGGUGAGUAACACGUGUAUAACCUACCUAUCAUACUGGUAUCACUUCGGGACACCGGAUCUAAUACCGGAUAAUCUAUUGAACCGCAUGGUUCAAUAGUGAAAGUCGGUUUUGCUGUCACUUAUAGCUGGAUCCCCGCCGCAUUAGCUAGUUGGUAAGGUAACGGCUUACCAAGGCAACGAUGCGUAGCCGACCGGAGAGGGUGAUCGGCCACACUGGAACUGAGACACGGUCCAGAGGCCUACGGGAGGCAGCAGUAGGGAAUCGGCCGCAAUGGGCGAAAGCAUGACGGAGCAACGCCGCGUGAGAGAUGAAGGUGUUCGGAUCGUAAAACUCUGUUAUUAGGGAAGAACAAAUGUGUAAGUAACUAUGCACGUCUUGACGGUACCGAAUCAGAAAGCCACGGCUAACUACGUG